UACGGGGGGGGCAAGCGUUGUUCGGAAUUACUGGGCGUAAAGGGCUCGUAGGCGGCCAACUAAGUCAGACGUGAAAUCCCUCGGCUUAACCGGGGAACUGCGUCUGAUACUGGAUGGCUUGAAUCCGGGAGAGGGAUGCGGAAUUCCAGGUGUAGCGGUGAAAUGCGUAGAUAUCUGGAGGAACACCGGUGGCGAAAGCGGCUCACUGGACCAUAACUGACGCUGAGGCACGAAAGCUAGGGGAGCAAACAGG
rnacentral:rRNA from 1 species